rnacentral:rRNA from 1 species
UUGAACGCUGGCGGCAGGCCUAACACAUGCAAGUCGAGCGGAUGAAGGGAGCUUGCUCCUGGAUUCAGCGGCGGACGGGUGAGUAAUGCCUAGGAAUCUGCCUGGUAGUGGGGGAUAACGUCCGGAAACGGGCGCUAAUACCGCAUACGUCCUGAGGGAGAAAGUGGGGGAUCUUCGGACCUCACGCUAUCAGAUGAGCCUAGGUCGGAUUAGCUAGUUGGUGGGGUAAAGGCCUACCAAGGCGACGAUCCGUAACUGGUCUGAGAGGAUGAUCAGUCACACUGGAACUGAGACACGGUCCAGACUCCUACGGGAGGCAGCAGUGGGGAAUAUUGGACAAUGGGCGAAAGCCUGAUCCAGCCAUGCCGCGUGUGUGAAGAAGGUCUUCGGAUUGUAAAGCACUUUAAGUUGGGAGGAAGGGCAGUAAGUUAAUACCUUGCUGUUUUGACGUUACCAACAGAAUAAGCACCGGCGAACUUCGU